CCACACUCAAACUCUCCCCUUCUGCCGCAUGUCCCUCUCUCUACACUCUCGGACUCUUUUGGACUCUCUUUCCCUGAGCUCCCUCUCGCCUCUCUUUGUGUAAAUGCAAAGCAACCACGCCACCAGCACACUCGCCAUACCGGCGAACUCUGUCAUCAUCUAAACACCAUACAGCCACCCCUUUUUCUCUCCUUCAAGUUUGUUUCUCUCCCUUUCUCGACUUUUUCUUUUUUCGAUCCACCAGAAGACACUAACGGUGGUUUCACCGUCGUUUUCGGAGCCAGACCACCAACCUGCACCACCUCGUCCCUCUCCUCAAUUUAAACUAGAAAAGCAUGAACGAGGCUUCAACCUCGAAGCCAUACUGUGGAAACUCGAGCCCAAUUCCGAGAUUCGAUUUUUCGGCAAACUUCUCGAUUUUUCGACUAAGAUUGAAUACAAAGAUACCUCAGGGAAACACUCCCCAGUUUUCCGAUGGUGGACCCGCGAAUUUCAGGUGGUUUUCAGGCCAUUUUUCAGCCAUGGCUUGGCCUAUAAAGGUAUAAUUAUUUUCCUUGUUCUCUGCGCUUCGUUUUGAUAUAAAGUUUGUACACUUUUGUGGAGUUUGGAGGUUGAUCGGAGCCGGGAUUUUUUCGACCUUCUCUUACACAACAACCGGCCAACCCACGAUCAAAUCGGGUCAACCCGACCCGCAACCCAAAGCCAGAUCCAAACCUGAUCCGCAAACCAACCCAAAACGGAAUCCGACCGACCUAUUUCUGAAUCCGACUAGCAUAUUCUCUGGAAUAAUCCGUUUACUUCCAAUUAACUUUAAUCAAAUAUCUUGUAUAAUGAUGGAAUAUUUCGUUAAAGUUGACUGUUGAUCCUUAA